rnacentral:rRNA from 1 species
GAUGAACGCUGGCGGCGUGCCUAAUACAUGCAAGUCGAGCGAACAGACGAGGAGCUUGCUCCUCUGACGUUAGCGGCGGACGGGUGAGUAACACGUGGAUAACCUACCUAUAAGACUGGGAUAACUUCGGGAAACCGGAGCUAAUACCGGAUAAUAUAUUUAACCGCAUGGUUCAAUAGUGAAAGACGGUUUUGCUGUCCCUUAUAGAUGGAUCCGCGCCGCAUUAGCUAGUUGGUAAGGUAACGGCUUACCAAGGCGACGAUGCGUAGCCGACCUGAGAGGGUGAUCGGCCACACUGGAACUGAGACACGGUCCAGACUCCUACGGGAGGCAGCAGUAGGGAAUCUUCCGCAAAGGGCGAAAGCCUGACGGAGCAACGCCGCGUGAGUGAUGAAGGUCUUCGGAUCGUAAAACUCUGUUAUUAGGGAAGAACAAAUGUGUAAGUAACUAUGCACGUCGUGACGGUACCUAAUCAGAAAGCCACGGCUAACUACGUG